GUAUGUACUGGUGUUACUGAUUCCUCCCUUCUGACGAACUAUCAUGCCAUUUACUUGGUGUGGUGGGAAAUCAGAACUGUUACUUUGAAAAAAUUAGAGUGUUUAAAGCAGGCUCACGCUUGAAUACAUUAGCAUGGAAUAAUGAAAUAGGACGUUGAUCUUAUUUUGUUGGUUUCUAGGAUUGACGUAAUGAUUAAUAGGGAUAGUUGGGGGCAUUAGUGUUCAAUUGUCAGAGGUGAAAUUCUUGGAUUUAUUGAAGACUAACUACUGCGAAAGCAUUUGCCAAGGAUGUUUUCAUUAAUCAAGAACGAAAGUUAGGGGAUCGAAGACGAUCAGAUACCGUCGUAGUCUUAACCAUAAACUAUGCCGACUAGGGAUCGGAUGAUGUUAAUUUUUUUAAUGACUCAUUCGGCGCCUUACG
rnacentral:rRNA from 1 species